ACAUACUCCAGAGCCUAAUUCAACUUACUUAAAUAAAUACAAUUACUUUCAAAUCCUAAUAAAUGUAAAAUUUACAAAUUUAAACUCAUUAACGUAACCCAUCUCUUCUUUUUAAAGCUGCACCUUGAUUUGAUCUAAAAUAAAAUUUUAUUUAAAGAAAAUUAGCUUUUUAAAAAUAUUCUUUACAACAACGAUAUACAAGCAAUAGCAAAAGUAAGAUAAAUUGUGGACUAUCAAUAACAGGACAGGUUCCUCUGACAGGUUAGAGUACCGCCAAGAUAUUUAAUUUUAAAGAAUUUAACUACUACUAAUCCGGCCUUAUUAUUAUACAAUGAAAUAUAACAGGGUAUCUAAUCCUGGUUUAUUAAUAAAUUUUCCUAGAACAUCUAAUUAAAAUCCCUUAACUUCAUAUUAAAAUUUCACCUCUCAAUAUAAAUUUUAAAAUUAAAUAAUCAAUUAACUAAAACCGCAUAAAUUAAGUAACACCUUUUGUAUAACCGCA
rnacentral:rRNA from 1 species